rnacentral:rRNA from 1 species
UAAUGUCUGGGAAACUGCCUGAUGGAGGGGGAUAACUACUGGAAACGGUAGCUAAUGCCGCAUAACGUCGCAAGACCAAAGUGGGGGACCUUCGGGCCUCAUGCCAUCAGAUGUGCCCAGAUGGGAUUAGCUAGUAGGUGGGGUAACGGCUCACCUAGGCGACGAUCCCUAGCUGGUCUGAGAGGAUGACCAGCCACACUGGAACUGAGACACGGUCCAG